rnacentral:rRNA from 1 species
UACGUAGGGGGCUAGCGUUGUCCGGAAUCAUUGGGCGUAAAGGGCUCGUAGGCGGCCAACUAAGUCAGACGUGAAAUCCCUCGGCUUAACCGGGGAACUGCAUCUGAUACUGGAUGGCUUGAGUUCGGGAGAGGGAUGUGGAAUUCCAGGUGUAGCGGUGAAAUGCGUAGAUAUCUGGAGGAACACCGGUGGCGAAGGCGGCAUCCUGGACCGACACUGACGCUGAGGAGCGAAAGCCAGGGGAGCAAAGCGGG